CCCUUAUCAAGUAAAGUUGUGCUUGCGCUGGAGUUGGAGAUUUGUCUCUGUGUGCUUCAGUCGUGUUGCAGGAGUUGACAUGUAUAUAAAAACCACUCAAAUCAAACACAAAUUAAACAUUGAUAAGGAUGCUGAAGUAUCCUGCUUCUACCUGAUUGUUUCCUCCUUUAACUGCUUGUAUUAUUGCUGAAACACAGUUUUCCACGCCGUGCAACUUACUGGAAUAGCAGCUGUAGAAGGGUUCAGUGAUUCCACAGGUUCUUCUGGCGCCGUGGCCACGAGCCCAUCGUGCUCUGAACGUGGGUUGUGAGGAGAACCAGGGAGUGCUGUGCCGUGCCCACACCCAGAAAGUCACCUCAGAGUCAGUGAAACUGAGUCACUGGAGCACACACAUCUUGGCAGAGCUCUCCUGGCAGCAGGAGCCCUUGUGCUGUUCGGGACUGCUUGGCCCUGGAGAUGAGCCAGGCUUUGCCAGCUCACAUCCAAAGUGUGUGGACAAAUGCAAAUCUUGCACAAACAAGGAACGCUGUGUUGCUAAAACUGUAAAGCACGCGAGAACUAGCGCGGGCAAAUGUGAGCUGUUUAUGAAAAAUGUGUUGGAAGUGCCAUAGGGUGGGAUUAUCACUUAUAAAGAUCUCACUCCCACAGCCUAGAAUAGCUUAAAGGUGCUGGAAAAUAAGGUUCUGCUCUGCUCUCUGGAGAUCAUGUCUAUUUUGUCUUAAUUAUUAUAGCUCUGAAUAGUGUUGCUCGUUAAUGCCAUGUUGUGAAAUCCUUGAUGCGCUCAGCACUCCAACCACCAGCGCAGAAGAUAAAUA